rnacentral:rRNA from 1 species
UCGGGAAUUUUGGGCAAUGGGCGAAAGCCUGACCCAGCAACGCCGCGUGAAGGAUGAAGUAUUUCGGUAUGUAAACUUCGUAAGAAUAGGAAGAAUAAAUGACGGUACUAUUUGUAAGGUCCGGCUAACUACGUGCCAGCAGCCGCGGUAAUACGUAGGGACCAAGCGUUGUUCGGAUUUACUGGGCGUAAAGGGCGCGUAGGCGGUGUGUCAAGUCAGUUGUGAAAUCUCCGAGCUUAACUCGGAACGGUCAACCGAUACUGUCACACUAGAGUACAGAAGGGGCAAUCGGAAUUCUUGGUGUAGCGGUGAAAUGCGUAGAUAUCGGAAGGAACAUCGGUGGCGAAGGCGUCUACCUGGCCUAAUACUGACACUGAGGCACGAAAGCGUGGGGAGCAAACAGGAUUAGAUACCCAAGUAGUCCCUGAGCGGGCUGGCAAGGCGCAU